rnacentral:tRNA from 1 species
GCAGUGGCUCAGUGAUAGAGCAGCUGCCUGAUAAGCUGAAGAUCUAGGUUCAGUCCUUGGCAUCAUCA